UACGGGGGGGGCAAGCGUUGUUCGGAAUUACUGGGCGUAAAGGGCUCGUAGGUGGCCAACUAAGUCAGACGUGUAAUCCCUCAGCUUAACUGGGGAACUGCGUCUGAUACUGGAUGGCUUGAGUUUGGGAGAGGGAUGCGGAAUUCCAGGUGUAGCGGUGAAAUGCGUAGAUAUCUGGAGGAACACCGAUGGCGAAGGCGGCAUCCUGGACCAACACUGACACUGAGGAGCGAAAGCCAGGGGAGCAAACGGG
rnacentral:rRNA from 1 species